UUACUUACCUGGACGGGGUCUAUGGCUGAUCAAGAAGAGCCAUGGCCUAGGCUAGUGGCCUACAUUGCACUUUGUGGGUGUGCUGGCCUACCAUCUCCCCUUCGAGGGAGAGUGGACGUCAUAAUUUAUGAUAGAGGGGGUACGCGUUCGCGCGGCCCCUGC
rnacentral:snRNA from 1 species